UGGCAAGGUGUGAUUGGUUCCCGUGUGGGUGCUGUGAGUUGUGUUUCGCCUCUCUUCUCCCUUUCUUUUCUCUGAUAAAAAAAUUAUGGGUUUUGUUCUGAUUGCUUCAUGAUUAAUGGGAUUGAUAAAUUGAUUGCAAGACUAGUCUUGGAGCUCCGUUGGUGGUUGCUCGGUCUAGACGAAUUCCGACGACCUUAAAGUGCUUCGCUUCCACCGCCAAUUCCGAACUUCUCCGUUCCCAGCUCGAUCGUCUUCACGCGGAGGCAGAGUCCACUCGUGCCAAAGCAAAUAGUAAUAGGUUGAGACUUUUGAGAUUAUCCGAGGCUGCUGAGAAUCUACGGAGACAAGCAUCUGUUCAUGUUCAGACAGGGAAAGAGAACGAUGCAAGAGAGUUGCUUCUCCAGAGAGCUUGAGAAGGUGGUGGAUUUUUUAGUUUCUCGUUUGUAAUUGGCCAUGAAUGCUUGAGAAGGUGGUAGAUUGGGAAGAUCAAUCGCGCUAAUUUUGAAUUGUUCAUUUCAUUGGGAGUUAUUUGGGGUUUAGGGAUUUGAAAUCAAUUUGGUACCGAAACGAGGAUCUUGAGGUUUAUGGUGUUCUGUGGCGUAGAAAUUAUCAGAAAAAAAUCAAGUAAACUGGAACUUCUCAACUUGUUUGUGUAACAAUGGCUGGUCUCUGAGAGUUGUUAGGAGUUUGAAUUUGAGAUCACCUGUCCUGAGUAUAGAGUGGAGGUUUUUCACUGUUUAGAAAUCGAUCUUUAAAUUUUAUAAAACUCCUUUUGUUCCCAUAAGAUUAUGUCUGUGGAAGCAGCAGCUUUUGAUGCCUACUUUAAGGCUGUUUUACAGUGUUUAGAAAUAGCAGAUAGUGCAUCGUACUUCAUGAUUGUUCAGGGUACUUUUGUAUUGCAAGACAACAAGUUCAGAUGGCUAUCUCGUGUCUCAAUUGACCCUUCGUCUGAGAUGGUAACCAAAGAUCCGUCUACUCCAGGGGAAAGCAAAGCAGCACAAGCGGUGAGCAUGUACCUGUAUUUCCCAUGUGGAAUCAUAAGAGGUGUCCUCUCCAACUUGGGGAUACCUUGUGCUGUCUCUGCAGACAUAUCCAGCCUUCCCACUUUUGAAGGUCAGAGGUUCGAACCUCUUUCAACAAUUAUGACGAAAGCGUGUUGGUGCAUGCGGCAUGCGGUGGUCUAAUGCGUAGUUUCACUCGCCCCCAGCUGAGGUUCGAUCAAGAUUGGAUAGAAAUUUUUAAAAAUUGUUAUGCCGAAGUAGUUUUGUGGUUGACACUGUACUGCUUUCAAUAUGUUCUAAGGUUCGAAUCUCCAUGGACUCAAAAUUUUCUUCAGCCACAGAUGACCGGUUUUGAGAGGAAGCCAUCUAAACCAUCAAUUAGAACAUCCAAACUAAAAUGACAUAUUUUUGUUUUUUUUUUGUUAGGACUUAUAAGUAUGCAGAGCUUUUUAGAUAAAUAUUUGUUAUUCAAAAUUAUUAGUUAGAAUAACUUUUUUGGACUCUCCAACAAUUUAAAAUUUUAUUAAAGUUAAAUAUAUGACUAAUAGUUUAUAGUAAAUUUCUAUGUUAAAUUAUAGUUAAAAUCUAAAAUACUAACUAAAAGUUAACUGAAAAACAGUUUUCUUCUUGUUCUAAUUUAUCUUUUUACGUUUUUGCAGAAUACCAUCCUUUAUCCAAAAUUUUCAUUUGCCCUUUUUUCUUUUAAUUAUAUAAUUUAGUUUCUAUUGAAAAUUCUAGUAUCGGUCCCCACAUGUGAAAUAUUUUUUUUGUUAAAAAUGAUAAAGAAUUACUUGCGCUCUACCAUGUAACAAAAACUGUUAAAUAAGUUGGAUAUGUUGUUAAUUGAGAAGACUAUUGUUGAAAGACUUGACUAUAAAAGUUUAACGGAUGAAUUUUGCAGGAAAAAAAUGUAAGAAAUUCUAUAUUUUAAUAAUAAAUGUCUUAAAUAACUAGUUUUUUAUAAAUAAUUUAUGAAAUUUGAUCUGUAUGAUUUUUUUGUAUUUUUAUUAUUUUGAUAAAAUAUAUAUAAAAGCAUAUUUUAAGUUAGGCUUUGGACAGUAUAAAACGUUAGAUCGGCAGCUACACCAAGCUUUUUUUGAUGUAACAUGGAUUGCAGUAAAAAACAGGCUUGCUACAUG